rnacentral:rRNA from 1 species
GACUCUCGGCAAUAGAUAUCUCGACUCUCGCAUAAAUGAAGAACGUAGCGAAAUGCGAUACUUUGUGUGAAUUGUAGAAUACGGUGAACCAUCGAAUAUUUGAACCUAAGUUGCGCCUGAAACAAUUAGGCCGAGGACAUAUCUGCCUUGGCAUCA